AGCAGUAGCCGCGGGAAUACAGAGGGUGCGAGCGUUAAUCGGAUUUACUGGGCGUAAAGCGUGCGUAGGCGGCUUCUUAAGUCGGAUGUGAAAUCCCUGAGCUUAACUUAGGAAUUGCAUUCGAUACUGGGAAGCUAGAGUAUGGGAGAGGAUGGUAGAAUUCCUGGUGUAGCGGUGAAAUGCGUAGAGAUCUGGAGGAAUACCGAUGGCGAAGGCAGCCAUCUGGCCUAAUACUGACGCUGAGGUACGAAAGCAUGGGGAGCAAACAGGAUUAGAUACCCCCGUAGUCCCUGUCUCUUAUAC
rnacentral:rRNA from 1 species